rnacentral:rRNA from 1 species
AACGAACGCUGGCGGCAUGCCUAACACAUGCAAGUCGAACGAGACCUUCGGGUCUAGUGGCGCACGGGUGCGUAACGCGUGGGAAUCUGCCCUUGGGUUCGGAAUAACAGUUGGAAACGACUGCUAAUACCGGAUGAUGACGUAAGUCCAAAGAUUUAUCGCCCAAGGAUGAGCCCGCGUAGGAUUAGCUAGUUGGUGAGGUAAAGGCUCACCAAUGCGACGAUCCUUAGCUGGUCUGAGAGGAUGAUCAGCCACACUGGGACUGAGACACGGCCCAGACUCCUACGGGAGGCAGCAGUGGGGAAUAUUGGACGAUGGGCGAAAGCCUGAUCCAGCAAUGCCGCGUGAGUGAGGAAGGCCUUAGGGUUGUAAAGCUCUUUUACCCGGGAUGAUAAUGACAGUACCGGGAGAAUAAGCUCCGGCUAACUCCGUG